GAGAACUGCUCUGUGGUUUAGGUAGUUUCAUGUUGUUGGGGCUCCACCUUUCUCUCUACAGCACGAAACUGCCUUAAUUACCAGUUGAU
rnacentral:pre_miRNA from 1 species